GACGAACGCUGGCGGCGUGCUUAACACAUGCAAGUCGAACGGAAAGGCCCUGCUUUUGUGGGGUGCUCGAGUGGCGAACGGGUGAGUAACACGUGAGUAACCUGCCCUGGACUUUGGGAUAACUUCAGGAAACUGGGGCUAAUACCGGAUAGGAGCUCCUGCUGCAUGGUGGGGGUUGGAAAGUUUCGGCGGUUGGGGAUGGACUCGCGGCUUAUCAGCUUGUUGGUGGGGUAGUGGCUUACCAAGGCGUUGACGGGUAGCCGGCCUGAGAGGGUGACCGGCCACAUUGGGACUGAGAUACGGCCCAGACUCCUACGGGAGGCAGCAGUGGGGAAUAUUGCACAAUGGGCGGAAGCCUGAUGCAGCAACGCCGCGUGCGGGAUGACGGCCUUCGGGUUGUAAACCGCUUUCGCCUGUGACGAAGCGUGAGUGACGGUAAUGGGUAAAGAAGCACCGGCUAACUACGUG
rnacentral:rRNA from 1 species